GGCCGCUGGUCCCUGUGGCCCAGGACUCUAAUGCACAGAGCAAACCUCUGAUUGGGUCUCUGGGGAUCCUUUCCUGAGAAACAGUCCCCUUCGCUCAAUGGCUGAGUCCUAGGCGCCGGCCUCACUACACCCCCAUCUCCCUGCCUGCUGCCUCCAGCAACCCUGGAAUCCGUGCGCGGCCGAGCCACACCCCCUUGGGCCUGGAGCGCGCGCCUCCAGCAGCCCCGGGCCACCUGCUAAGGUCACAAGAUUUUGCUUUGGCUGGCCCAUCAAAACCGCACGAGCAAAGAUUGCACCCUAACUCAGGACUCUUUCCCCAAUGGUCCAUAAAUUGAUUUUUCAGAGUUGUACCAUGGAUCAAGACUUGCUUUUGGGGCCAAAUAAUAUCCUGUUGCAUGGAUGCAUGGACGUCAUUUUCUGCUGGCUACCUUUGGAACAAGAGGUGGAACUCUCAGCUCCUCCUGCACCAUGCCUGCCUGGGUGCUGCCAUGCUCCCACCUUGAUGACAAUGGAUUGAACCUCUGAACCUGUAAGCCAGCUCCAAUUAAAUGUUGUCCUUGUAAGACUUGCAUUGGUCAUGGUGUCUGUUCACAGCAAUAAAGCCCUAAGACAUUACUAGAAA